rnacentral:misc_RNA from 1 species
GAUGAAGAACGCAGCGAAAUGCGAUAAGUAAUGUGAAUUGCAGAAUUCAGUGAAUCAUCGAAUCUUUGAACGCACAUUGCGCCCGCCAGUAUUCUGGCGGGCAUGCCUGUUCGAGCGUCAUUUCAACCAUCAAGCCCCCGGCUUGUGUUGGGGACCUGCGGCUGCCGCAGGCCCUGAAAACCAGUGGCGGGCUCGCUGUCACACCGAGCGUAGUAGAUUUUCAUCUCGCUCAGGGCGUGCUGCGGGUUCCGGCCGUAAAAAGCCUUAUUUACCCAAGGUUGACCUCGGAUCAGGUAGGAAGACCCGCUGAACUUAAGCAUAUCAAUAGCGAGGA